rnacentral:rRNA from 1 species
UGGAAACUGGGAGACUUGAUUGCCGAAAAAGAAAGUGGAAUUCCCUGUGUAGCGGUGAAAUGCGUAGAGAUAUGGAGGAACACCACUGGCGAAAGCGACUUUCUGGUCUGUUACUGACACUGAGGCGCGAAAGCGUGGGGAGCAAACAGGAUUAGAUACCCUGGUAGUCCACGCCGUAAACGAUGAGUGCUAAUUGUUAGAGGGUUUCCGCCCUUUACUGCUGAAGUUAACGCAUUAAGCACUCCGCCUGGGGAGUACGGCCGCCAGGCUGAAACUCAAAGGAAUUGACGGGGGCCCGCACAAGCGGUGGAGCAUGUGGUUUAAUUCUAAGCAACGCGAAGAACCUUACCACGUCUUGACAUCCUCUGAGCGCCCUAGAGAUAGGGCUUCUCCUUCGCGAGCAGAGUGACAGGUGGUGCAUGGGUGUCAUCAGCUCGUGUCGCGAGAUGUUGGGUUAAGUCCCGCAACGAGCGC